AAAGGAGGAUGAGCACAGCAAGAAGAGGUUCGGGAGCAGAGGAAAAAUAAAAAAAUAGGGAUAGCUUUAUAAUAAAAACUGGAAGGACAAAAUCCUUCUAACAUUAGGGUGCAUGGACCUCGAUCUGGCACUUCGUGUGGAUGAACCUCCUGAACCCACGGACGAGAGUUUCGCUGCAGAAAAGAGUGCUUAUGAUAAGUGAGAACGAUCCAAUAGCUUAAGCCUAAUGCUCAUAAAGUCACAUAUCAGCCAAAGCAUUAGAGGCUCAAUCCCACUAUCUGAUAAGGUCAAGAACUACAUGAAGGCCAUUGAAGAGCAAUUUGUUAGUUCUGACAAAGCAUUGGCAAGCACCUUAAUGAACAAACUAUCAUGAAUGAAGCAUAACAAUUCUAGGAGUGUGUGUGAGCACAUUAUGGAAAUGAGAGACAUUGUUGCUCGUCUUAAGUCCUUAGAGAUUGAGAUUUCUGAGUCAUUCCUUGUCAAUUUCAUACUCAAUUCUCUUCCUGUGGAAUAUGGAGCAUUCCAAAUUUCUUAUAACACACAGAAGGAAAAAUGGUCUCUCAAUGAACUUUUGACCAUGUGUGUUCAAGAGAAGGAGAGAUUGAAGCAUGGAAAAGUGGAAAGUGUUCAUUUAGCAACACAUAAAAUAGGGCAAUGGAAAAAGGGCAAAGGUGAUCAGAAAUGGAAGAAGCUUAGUAAAGUGCCAUUUAAAAAUCAUGGCAAUAAUGAUGCAUGAUUCUUCUGCAAGAAAAAGGGUCACAUGAAGAAAGACUUCCCCAAGUAUAAGAAAUGGCUUGAGAAAAAAGGGCUUCCUCAGCCUAAGGAAACCGACGGGAAGUGAACAAGGCAUCUAUUCGGGCAAUGGGAUGCGUUCGCACGUCGAAGCUGUUGGAACUUUCAGACUUGUUUUAAAAAAUGGCUUUGUUUUGGAUCUUGAAAACGCAUUUUACAUUCCAUCUUUUUCAAAAACUUAAUUUCUAUUUCUAGACUAGUACCGUUUGGAUUUGAAUUUUAGUUUGUUGGUGCAAAUUUUAGUUUGUUUAAAGACUCUG